rnacentral:lncRNA from 1 species
GAUAAUAUGUAAAGUAUUGAUAUAUAAUAAAGUUAAUUACCUGAGAAGGUAGAAAUCGUUGUAACAUGGAUGUAAUAUUCGUAAGCUGAGACUGCAAAUUUGCUUGGUUUUGCUUCAGCUCUUCAAUAGUUGCUUGAAGAUGGCGAACUUCUGCAGUGUUACUACCUUCUCUGGCAUUUCUUAUAUAUGUGCCCACUGAAGACAACUGAGUGGGGGUAACUCCAACGCCGUAACCCCGCACUCGACCAUAACGCUCUGGGCCCAUCAAUUCAGUAAGCACUUGAGCUUCAAUAUGAUUGUUCGCGUCGGAUGAUGAUGACCCCCC